GACGAACGCUGGCGGCGUGCUUAACACAUGCAAGUGGAGCGACGAACCAGGGCUUGCCCUGGGGCAGAGCCGCGAACGGGUGAGUAACACGUGGGUUACCUGCCCCGAUGACCGGGACAACCCGAGGAAACUCGGGCUAAUACCGGAUGUGGUCUACGGACGAAAGGGAGCUUCGGCCUCCGCAUCGGGGAUGGGCCCGCGGCGCAUUAGCUUGUUGGUGGGGUAACGGCCUACCAAGGCGACGAUGCGUAGCUGGUCUGAGAGGACGAUCAGCCACACUGGGACUGAGACACGGCCCAGACUCCUACGGGAGGCAGCAGUGGGGAAUCUUGCGCAAUGCGCGAAAGCGUGACGCAGCAACGCCGCGUGAGGGAAGACGGCCUCGGUUGU
rnacentral:rRNA from 1 species